AUUUUCUGGUUAGUUGUGCAAUCAUUUUGAGGCACUUCAGUCAGGGAGAGAGGUAUGACUAUAAUUUAUAUUUAUUGAUAGAAAAGAUUGUCAUGAGUAAUUUGAUGAAAUACGACUUCGUUGACUUAGGCCAUAAAUCGCCACAAUGUUGAAAUUGACUGAACAUAUAUGCUGAGGAAUAAGGAGAUAUUGUUUCACUGAAUUGAAUGGUGCCGGUAUUUUUGUCCUUGCUGGACUCACUGAACUGAAGCUAUGAAGCUGGAAAGUUGUUGCUGAAACCAUAGCGCAAUGUCAUGGUUAAAUCUGGACCUGUAUAUAAUGAUUAAUCUUAUCUUUUCUCAUGCAUAGCCGUAUAACAAUAGACAAUCUUCCGUUUCAGCAAAAUUCUUUCACUUUGAUAGCCGUCUUUGUUAUGCAAAAAAUAACUGACAAAACACAUUUCCUUGUCAGAUGUGCAAUCAUUUUGCAAGACACUUUCAACGAGAGCAACUUGAAGAAAACUAAACUGAGAGAAAAUUUAUUUGGUAAGGUUGUACUGACAAAUGUAAACUAACUGGUGCAUGCAGUAUACUGUUUGAUUCCUACAUAUAGAUAUAUUUUAUUCCUUUCAACAGCUUAAGCUUGAUCUUAUUCUGUUUCAUAUAAAAGCGCGCGGUUUAAACCGAUAGAAA